GAUGAACGCUAGCGGCAGGCUUAAUACAUGCAAGUCGAACGGGAUUCAGGGUAGCAAUACUUUGAUGAGAGUGGCGCACGGGUGCGUAACGCGUAUGCAACCUACCUUUAACAGGGGAAUAGCCCCGAGAAAUCGGGAUUAAUACUCCGUAACAUUGCGGGAUGGCAUCAUUCUGCAAUUAAAGAUUUAUCGGUUAAAGAUGGGCAUGCGUGACAUUAGCUUGUUGGUGAGGUAACGGCUCACCAAGGCAACGAUGUCUAGGGGUCCUGAGAGGGUUAUCCCCCACACUGGUACUGAGACACGGACCAGACUCCUACGGGAGGCAGCAGUAAGGAAUAUUGGUCAAUGGGCGCAAGCCUGAACCAGCCAUGCCGCGUGCAGGAAGACGGCCCUAUGGGUUGUAAAACUGCUUUUGUCAGGGAAUAAACCUGUCUACGUGUAGACAGCUGAAAGGUACCUGAAGAAUAAGCAUCGG
rnacentral:rRNA from 1 species